GAUGAAGAACGCAGCGAAAUGCGAUAAGUAAUGUGAAUUGCAGAAUUCAGUGAAUCAUCGAAUCUUUGAACGCACAUUGCGCCCGCCAGUAUUCUGGCGGGCAUGCCUGUUCGAGCGUCAUUACAACCCUCAGGCCCCCGGGCCUGGCGUUGGGGAUCGGCGGAGCCCCCCGUGGGCACACGCCGUCCCCCAAAUACAGUGGCGGUCCCGCCGCAGCUUCCAUCGCGUAGUAGCUAACACCUCGCGACUGGAGAGCGGCGCGGCCACGCCGUAAAACACCCAACUCUUCUGAAGUUGACCUCGAAUCAGGCAGGAAUACCCGCUGAACUUAAGCAUAUCAAUAAGCGGAGGA
rnacentral:misc_RNA from 1 species